GAGAAGGGAUUGAGUUCUCCCACCAUGUCCCAGGCACUUCUUCUCUCCGUAGUCCUGAUCUCUAUUGGUCCUAGCCUUCAACAACUUCAGACCCUGAAGGAUGCAGAAUUUGUCCCCACUGGAGGCACAGUCACCAUAUCUUGUCGAUAUAAUGGUGGAAAUCUUGGGGAUGGCCACUACCCUUUAUGGACCAAGGAGAUAGCUGGGCAUCAACAUCGAGGAGUGAUCACUUACACCACCUCCAAAGCACCGGGAGUUCCAGAACGUUUUUCUGGUUCCAGAUCAGGAAACAUGAUGUCCUUGACUAUCACCGGGGCUCAGGUUGAAGACGAAGCCACCUAUUAUUGUUGUGUCUGGUCAGACAAUCAGUUCCACAGUGGAAACCUCAUCAUGCUUUCAGGGGAAGAAAAUAAUCUAGUAGAACCAAUGAGGGCAGAUCUCAUUUACAUGAAGGGAGAAAGCAGGGGCAUUUAA